AUUACGGGGUGCAGCAGGCGCGAAACCUUGUCAAUGCACGAAAGUGUGAACAGGAGAUCCUGAGUGCUCAUGCUUUGCAUGGGCUUUUGCCAAGAGUUAAUAUCUUGGCGAAUAAGUGGUGGGAAAGACUGGUGCCAGCCGCCGCGGUAACACCAGCGCCACGAGUGGUAACCGCGUUUAUUGGGCCUAAAGCGUCCGUAGCUGGUUUGGUAAAUCUUUUGUGAAAUUGUACGGCUCAACCGAACAACGUGCAAGAGAGACUGCCAAACUCGAGACCGGGAGGAGUCAGAAGUAUUCCUGAGGGAGCGGUAAAAUGUUAUAAUCUCAGGAGGACUACCUGAGGCGAAGGCGUCUGACUAGAACGGAUCUGACAGUGAGGGACGAAAGCCAGGGGAGCGAACCGGAUUAGAUACCCGAGUAGUCCUGGCCGUAAACGCUGUGAGCUAGGUGUUGCACCAGCUACAUGUUGGUGCAGUGUCGAAACGAAGGUGUUAAGCUCACCGCCUGGGAAGUACGGUCGCAAGACUGAAACUUUAAGGAAUUGGCGGGGGAGCACAAU
rnacentral:rRNA from 1 species